rnacentral:lncRNA from 1 species
CAUGUGUUCGGUUAUAGGUAAGCAUGAUGAUGAAUCUAUCUUGACUUGGAUAAUCUGCUCAAGGAGAAAUUGCUAAAGUGCUUAGAAAUUGAUAUUAGGUUAAUGAUGUGUGUUUUCGGUCAUAAAGGUGCACAUGAGGAAUUGUUAGAUUAAUUGUAUUAAAUUACUCAAUGUGAUUAAAAAUACGUAUGACCAUUUUGUAUUUGAGCUAAAAGUGGCCAUAUGACCUAUCAAAC